rnacentral:rRNA from 1 species
GUCCGUCGUGAAAAGGGAAACAACCCAGACCGUCAGCUAAGGUCCCAAAGUUAUGGUUAAGUGGGAAACGAUGUGGGAAGGCUUAGACAGCUAGGAGGUUGGCUUAGAAGCAGCCACCCUUUAAAGAAAGCGUAAUAGCUCACUAGUCGAGUCGGCCUGCGCGGAAGAUGUAACGGGGCUCAAACCAUACACCGAAGCUACGGGUAUCACUUAGGUGAUGCGGUAGAGGAGCGUUCUGUAAGCCUGUGAAGGUGAGUUGAGAAGCUUGCUGGAGGUAUCAGAAGUGCGAAUGCUGACAUGAGUAACGACAAUGGGAGUGAAAAACUCCCACGCCGAAAGACCAAGGUUUCCUGCGCAACGUUAAUCGACGCAGGGUUAGUCGGUCCCUAAG